rnacentral:rRNA from 1 species
GAUGAACGCUGGCGGCGUGCCUGACACAUGCAAGUCGAACGAAUCGAGGGGCCGUUGAUCGGGUUUCGGAAGGGUUCGUCCCGGAAGAGCCCGUGAGGUUCCUUGGUUAGUGGCGAACGGGUGAGUAACACGUAGGUGACCUGCCCCGAAGAGGGGGAUAACCACUGGAAACGGUGGCUAAUACCCCGGUGGUUCCGCAUUCGGUUGCGGGAUUAAAGGCUCCGGCGCUUCGGGAGGGGCCUGCGGCCUAUCAGCUAGUUGGUAGGGUAAUGGCCUACCAAGGCUAUGACGGGUAGCUGGUCUGAGAGGACGCACAGCCACACUGGCACUGAGACACGGGCCAGACUCCUACGGGAGGCAGCAGUGAGGGAUAUUGCGCAAUGGGGGAAACCCUGACGCAGCAACGCCGCGUGGGCGAAGAAGGUUUUCGGAUCGUAAAGCCCUUUUCUCUCGGACGAGGAAGGACGGUACGGGAGGAAUAAGCGUCGGCUAACUACGUGCCAGCAGCUGCGGUAAAACGUAGGACGCAAGCGUUAUCCGGAUUUAUUGGGCGUAAAGGGCGUCUAGGCGGCGUCUUAAGUUGGGCGUGAAAUCUUCCGGCUCAACCGGAAGGGUGCGUUCAAUACUGGGACGCUUGAGGGCAGCAGAGGGAGGUGGAAUUCCCGGUGUAGCGGUGGAAUGCGUAGAUAUCGGGAGGAACACCAGUGGCGAAGGCGGCCUCCUGGGCUGUACCUGACGCUGAAGCGCGAAAGCGUGGGGAGCAAACGGGAUUAGAUACCCCGGUAGUCCACGCCGUAAACGAUGGAUACUAGGUGUUGGUGGUAUUGACCCCAUCAGUGCCGCAGCUAACGCAAUAAGUAUCCCGCCUGGGGACACGGCCGCAAGGCU